rnacentral:rRNA from 1 species
UACGGAAGGCAGCAGUGGGGAAUAUUGCACAAUGGGCGAAAGCCUGAUGCAGCUAUGCCGCGUGUAUGAAGAAGGCCUUAGGGUUGUAAAGUACUUUCAUCGGGGAGGAAAAAACAAAACUAAUAAUUUUAUUUCUUGACGUUACCCGAAAAAGAAGCACCGGCUAACUCCGUGCCAGCAGCCGCGGUAAUACGGAGGGUGCUAGCGUUAAUCAGAAUUACUGGGCGUAAAGAGCACGUAGGUGGUUUUUUUAAGUCAGAUGUGAAAUCCCUGGGCUUAACCUGGAACUGCAUUUUGAAACUGAAAUACUAGAGUAUCGUAGAGGGAGGUAGAAUUCUAGGUGUAGCGGUGAAAUGCGUAGAUAUCUGGAGGAAUACCUGUGGCGAAAGCGGCCUCCUAAACGAAUACUGACACUGAGGGUGCGAAAGCGUGGGGAGCAAACGAGGAUUAGAUACC